rnacentral:lncRNA from 1 species
AAAUUUAACCUAAAGUUGGUCAAAUUUUAAGUUUCUCGGGACUGAUCCACCUCUAUUGCUACACUUCCAUAAUUUUGAUUUCCCUAAUCAAAACGAUCAAACUGCAUCGAUCACAUGUCACUCACGAUAUGGCUAGAAUAAGAAGCCACCCAAACUUCUAAGAAAUGCGCUUGGCCGCCACAGCACAAUUGUGCUAUUUCCCAUCGAAAACUCUCGCUUGUCAGCGUGCUUAGCCUACAGUGACGCUGCAGCAUACCAUCCUACAUUGAAUCGUACAUGAUCCAAUAAAUCGUUCUUACCUUCAGAAGAGGGAGUAGGGACACAACUAUCUAUUUGGUGUGUUGUUGCUUGGGUCCAAUUUCCUAGUGCCUCCCUUUCCUAGCUAUGCUUGUGUGACGCUUUCACUUGCCGUUCUAGCUAUCAUGCACCAUUUUAUUCAUACAAUUUCUUGGGAGGUGAUAACUUGCACGAGCUUGGCUCCUUUUAUAUGUACUAGAAGAUGAUGUACCUUUUAUGGUGUUAUUGAACAAAGUAGGUGGGAAGGGUCUGAUGUCUUUUUUUUUUCGGUUAUAAACAUGAGGGAAUCAACCAUCGUUGACGUUAAGAAGCUCGUGAGGAAAGUUAUAAGAUGGAUUAUCUUUUAUGGUGUUAUUUGAGAAAGUAGAAGACAAUUGUUUCUUGCCUUUUUCGGUCGGUUAUCAACAUGAUGGAGAAUCGCCUAAACAUCUUGUUGUGUUAUGGAGUCACCAAUCACCUCGAGCUUAAAAUGCUCUUCACCAAAAUCAUAAGAUAGAUUAGAACUGGCUAGCAGAAACCAAUUAUGAUGGAUCGAUUCAACCAUAUAU